AUCGCGAUGGCUGUACAAAAUUGUUAGCUGGCGGUGCAGCUGGGUUACGGUGUACUGGGGGUUGGUAGACUGAAGGAGCGGGUAUUACUGCUGGUCGAUACUCCAGUCUGGCAGGGGCUUUGGCAGCUGUACCAUCCAACUUGCGGGCAUCCGUGUAUUCGUCUGCCAGACGAGCAGCCUCGGGUAGGGUAGAGGGUUUUCUAUCUCUGAC